AUUGCCUAAGACUUUUGCACAUUAUUGUGUGUGUGUGUGUGUAUAUUUAUUUAUUUAUUUAUUUAUUUACUUUUUCAGAAGACUUUAAUUUAAGAUGCCACGUGGAAAAGGUUUCCGCCGGUCCCAGGCAGCCAAGAGGAGAAAUGCUGAGCGCUACUCACUUGGUUCGUUCAUGAACUUGGAUGAGGUUAAGCCUCCUCUCACAAAAAAGGCAGCUUCCCAGAGCUCUGAGAAAGAGAGCCCUAACAUUAAUACUACGGAUCAAAACUGCCCCAAGGCAGGCGAAACUUGUCAUAACUGCCUCAAGGCAGGCAAUACUUGUCAUAACUGCCUCAAGGUGGGCAAUACUUGUCAAAACUGCCUCAAGGCGGGCAAUACUUGUCAUAACUGCCUCAAGGCAGGCAAUACUUGUCAUAACUGCCUCAAGGCAGGCGAAACUUGUCAAAACUGCCUCAAGGCAGGCAAUACUUGUCAUGACUGCCUCAAGGCAGGCAAUACUUGUCAUGAUUGCCUCAAGGCAGGCAAUACUUGUACAAAGUCUGGAAAAAGUUUUCCAAAGUCUGAUAAGUGCAAUGAUGCUGCUGCAUGUUUUCAUGUUAAUAGCUCUGAUUAUUUUCCCCAGCAAGUCAUACGGGGUUCCUUCCAUCAGGGUGAUGCGCAAUUUGGUUUGAACAGAAACCGUCAGUGUGCAGUGAACAGUAUGGCAGCAGUCAUGAUGAGUGUGCUGAAGGAUGUGCUGAUGUGGACAAUAGAGGACCUGAAUGCUGUUCUUUUGCAUGGAAAUGAACUGUACACAUCAAUGAGAUUGCAAGGCAAGAUCAAUGAUCGAACAGGGCUGGGUCAUAUUUCUGUUGCAGAACUGCCAAAAGUGCACACACUUCAGAACACAACAUUCUCAAUAAAGCAUGGAGAAUCUUUCUCAGGUGUUUUUGGUGUUGAUUUCUAUGAUGACUCAUUGAGAGAUGUUUCCAUGUCUAUAGAAGAAGCACUUCAG
ensembl:lncRNA